UGCCAGCAGCCGCGGUAAUACGGAGGGGGCAAGCGUUGUUCGGAAUUACUGGGCGUAAAGCGCGUGUAGGCGGUUCGUUAAGUCUGAUGUGAAAGCCCGGGGCUCAACCCCGGAAGUGCAUUGGAAACUGGCGAACUUGAGUACGGGAGAGGAAAGUGGAAUUCCGAGUGUAGGGGUGAAAUUCGUAGAUAUUAGGAAGAACACCGGUGGCGAAGGCGACCACCUGGCUCGGAUCUGACGCUGAGGUGCGAAAGCUAGGGGAGCAAACGGGAUUAGAUA
rnacentral:rRNA from 1 species